GAUGAACGCUAGCUACAGGCUUAACACAUGCAAGUCGAGGGACCGACGCACGGGUGAGUAACACGUAUCCAACCUGCCCUUUACUCGGGGAUAGCCUUUCGAAAGAAAGAUUAAUACCCGAUAUAAAGGAUGGGGAUGCGUUCCAUUAGGUUGUUGGUGAGGUAACGGACCACCAAGACUUCGAUGGAUAGGGGUUCUGAGAGGAAGGUCCACCACAUUGGAACUAAAACACGUACCAAACUCCUAUGGGAGGCAGCAGUUAGGAAUAGUUGUCAAUGGGCGGUAGCCUGAAUCAACCAAGUAGCGUGAAGGAUGAAGGAUUAUGGGUCGUAAACUUCUUUUAUAUAAGAAUAUGUAUUAUAUGAAUAAGGAUCGGCUAACUCCGGGCCAGCCGCCGCGGUAAUAC
rnacentral:rRNA from 1 species